rnacentral:rRNA from 1 species
GACGGAGGAUGCAAGUGUUAUCCGGAAUCACUGGGCGUAAAGCGUCUGUAGGUGGUCAAAUAAGUCAACUGUUAAAUCUUGAGGCUUAACCUCAAAAUCGCAGUCGAAACUAUUAGACUAGAGUAUAGUAGGGGUAAAGGGAAUUUCCAGUGGAGCGGUGAAAUGCGUAGAGAUUGGAAAGAACACCGAUGGCGAAGGCACUUUACUGGGCUACUACUAACACUCAGAGACGAAAGCUAGGGUAGCAAAUGGG